CGGGCCGGGAGCUCCUCCCGGAGCUUUUAAACAGCGAGAAGGGAGCCACGAGGAAGGCCGGGCGCUUCCAGGAUCUUGGCCGAAGCAUCGGGGCCGAGAGCGGGUCGCGCCGUUCGAACGCGGCCGCCCCGCGCCACGCCGACCUCCUCGGCCGCCCCCCUCUUUGUCGCGGCGUUGAUAUUGUAUUUCUUCAGAUGAGGAUUGAAUGCAGGGAAGACUGCAUGGAAACUCAGCAAACUGAUUAGCAAAGCUGCCUGGAGCAUGCAUCUCAUCUCAAGCAUCCUCUUACAUUGUCAGCUAAUGCUAGACUGGCAAUCUAUAGCACCAUAAACUAUCUCUUAAGGAUCCAGAAACAACUGAAUACAUCUCAUACAACGUUGCAACUCUUGCAGAAGAGGGCUCCAUGAACAGCCAAAGUGAAAUGAAAACUAGUAGAUACAUUGAUAGUUUCUGAUGUUGAAGACCAGUACAACACCUGCAGUGGGCUGACUGAUUGCAACCAUCUGAGAUGCUCCUUUGAAUUUGUUUACAUCUGUGCCUGAGGUCCUGUUAAAGGAUAACUUGGUUAAGCUUUAAUUUCUGUAGUCUCUGUGAUUUUAACAGGGAAUGGUUACCAAUUCUACCUCUGUUAUUUCUGUGUGACUUGAGUGGAUUUGCUCAACUGGAAUGCUAUCUACAAAUUAAUUGCUGAUCAUAAAAAAUAAUCUGUUGGUAUAUGAGAAAUUAAUAGCUCUGUGGUGAACUUCCAUAUUUAGCCUUUUCAAUUCUGUGAGUUUUUUUGUCUCUAUAUUGAGCCAGCAUCUUAAUUUUAUGGGAUGCUAGUACUGGUCAACCUCUUCAUGGUGUUGGCCAUAAAGCACUGGCUGUAGACCUUUGGGUAUGUCUGUCUUGAUUGCGGAUUUUGAUAGUAGUGGCAGUCCUGGAUUGUACCUAACAGUUUAGGAAGGUGUCAAUUAUAUAUAUAUGUACAUGCAUAAAUGGACUGAAUGGACAAUCUCUUCUGUGCAAUAAAAGCGUUUGGGUAGUCAAUGCAUUUCUUAAAAGGUGGAUGAUGAAUUCUGAAUGAAAAACCAGCAGGAUUAGAAAAUUCAAGUGAGCUAGGGAACUGUAUUUGGAUUUGGAAAUAAAUUUAUAAUAAGCUACAGCAAAGAUAUAUGAAUAGUUGUAGAAGAUCAACAAAGCUUGAUGCUCUCCUCAAGAAAUGGCAGCUUGUUCACACAGCAAACAAUAAGUAGAUUCUGAAAUUUGUUUCUUUGUGAUUCUUUUGUUCACUUGUAGCUUUUUAUAGAAACUUUUCUUUGUAGAUGCUGAAAAUUCUCAUGCAAACUGUAUUUGAAGGGAUGCAAAAGCAGCUAAGAUAUUGCAAGAGGUUUUGUGCUAGUGGAUUUUGAGUCAUACCUUGCUCUUGAUCAUGGGUUUCACAACUUAAGUGAGCAGGACUGGGACACAUGGUGCAGGCUUCCUUGAAUGUAGAAUGUAAACGAAAAGAUCACCCUUUUGGAGGUGCAGCUGUGCCAGUGGAAAGAAUAGUGAGAGAACUAAUUUGGGUGGUUAUACUUAAGUUUCUAGACCAACUACAUGGAAACUCUUGAGUGUAUUGAUUACUCAUGGCAGCAGUGUCGAAGACUAUUAUUUUAUUAAUUAUUAUUAAAAGAAGGCAGACUGAGGUAGGGUUUAGGAAGCACUCUGGCACUAAAGGAGUGGUCACACCUGGCUACAGCCUAUACUUUGUGCUCAAAUUAUUUACCACUUGAAUUUACUGGAGUAACUUCAUGGCUGGCUUUUUGCCUAUUGGCUGCUGAAGGCUCUUAUAGUGCAUGAGCUCAUGGGGUUCAUCUUCAUUACUGAACAAGACUGCCAACAGCCAAUUUCUGUCCCCAAGAGCAUGCUUUUGUACCAGGCUCUCCUUAUCUCUGGAAUCCACCAUCUGUAUUCUAUCUAACUAUUCCUGACUGUGGAUCAGGCAUUGCCUGGGGGAGGACUACUUAGGCUGAAUGAAAGGAUGCCAUAAACUACUGUAGCAAUAGAGAUAAUCCAGCUUUAGUGUCUGGACCCAUGGAUUGAUAACUUUUGUGGCAUAGGUGACUGAAAGCUGCUGCAACAGAUUGAUCUCUCCACCACAGACAGAAGCAAUGUCCACCUAUUCAGAACGCCUAGGUUUAAUUCUAUUGAACGUUAUGAUACAGGUAUCUUUUGUUCUUAGUAGGACAAGAGGCGGAAGAAAGAUAGUAAGUCAACAUAUUUUAAUACUCUCUGUUCUUUGUUGUGUGUAAAUCUGGAAAAAUUCCCUGUAAAAUGGAUUAAAACUCCCUAGACAGACCUAUAUACAUAUACUUGUAUGUAUACGCAACAUACACAAACAUACACUUGUAUGUUAAAAAUCAAAGAUCAUGUUUACUUUGAGGCAAAGGACUGAAGGGCACAAUGAUCCUUUAAAAUCUUACACAAGUUGUCUUUAUGUUUCUGUGUACUUCAUGAAUUUCUUGCUAUCUCUGGCCAUCAGUGAAAUAAAAAAUCAAAACAGAAAGUUAAAUAGUGACCUUCGCAUACGUACUGGCCUGCCUUUGUUUCCAAGUGUUAAUGCAUGUUUUCCUCGUUAAUAUUCUAGUUUUAUCAAUGUUGAUAUUUUUGCCCUUUUCCAAAGCAUCUUAAAGCCACUGAUGGCUUUAAUAUAGCUGCUAGUGUUGACAAGUAAAUAAGCACUUCAUGUUGUCUUUACUUAUGAAACUUUGUGGAGGAAGUUAGCUUUUACAUCAUUACCUUUCAUAAGUCAGGUAGUAGCUAUUCUUCGUGUUACCGUUAUCUCCUGGCAGUUACAGGCAAAAGGUAAGGAGAAAUACUAAUUCCUUCUUUCUUCCUUUCUUACUUACUACAUGGUUGUUUUUAUUUAUUUUUUUCCCCAGGGUGAGUAGCAGGGCUAACUUAGUGAUGCAAGUGGUAGCAUUUUUGUUUUAUAAUUUUCUAUUGUUUUGUAUUGUGCUGUGCCUAUCACACCUUGUUUUUGGUGCUCUGUACUGCUGGAAACAUUUUGUAGUUUCUUUUUAUUCUCUAUUUUUUGCAUCAGAGUUGUAGUUAAUUGGAUUACAGUUCAUGUUCUCUGCUUGAUUCCCAAGAGCAAGAAAGCAGAGAAGUCCUAGCCACCAUCUGCUUUUUCCCUGUCCUGUGGAUUUCUUUCAUCUGUAAUGAACUUAGACCAAAACACAGAACACUGCUCUCAUGAGCUACCGUAAUACCUCAAAGGAGUUUUUAGCUCACUGGACAAGAAUUUUGGGGCAUGGAGAUAGACAUUAAAUAGGUCAAGGAAUGAGCCCCAGAAAAGCUGAGAAUUUACAGAAUCGAACAACUGCUUUAAUAAUUACAGUGUUGUAAAUAUGAAAAAGAUCCAUGUACUUGUUCCACUGUAAAUAGUUCAAGGAACAUUCUCUUCAUCUCAUUGUAAUUUGCAAAAAUGUUGAUGGAACUUUGACCACAGGAUUGGCAGUGGUGUGUUGGCAAUUGGGCAACAGUUGAUUGAUGAAGUAAUGGUAUGGGUGGAAAUGUCUGUAAUCAGCUUCUCCGUAAACUCGGGUGAAACUUCUGCCUGCCAUUUGAUUUCCUUGUAAAAGAACUAAU